UGCCAGCAGCCGCGGUAAUACGUAGGGGGCAAGCGUUGUCCGGAUUUACUGGGUGUAAAGGGCGCGUAGGCGGGUUUGUAAGUCAGAGGUGAAAUCCUGCGGCUCAACCGUAGAACUGCCUUUGAAACUACAAACCUUGAGUUUGGAAGAGAGAGAUGGAAUUCCAGGUGUAGUGGUGAAAUUCGUAGAUAUCAGGAGGAACACCAGUGGCGAAGGCGGCUUUCUGGACCGAUACUGACGCUGAGACGCGAAAGCGUGGGGAGCAAACAGGAUUAGAUA
rnacentral:rRNA from 1 species